rnacentral:snoRNA from 1 species
CUCCCAGUCUCUGUUGCAGACCUGGGUGAACCUGCAGUAUUUUCUUUCUGUGAUCAGGCUCCAUGUGGACUAUGCUGCUUGCCUGACUCUAAGAGGAUUGUAACAAUGAACUGAGGCCAGGGGAACAUGAG